rnacentral:rRNA from 1 species
GACGAACGCUGGCGGCGUGCCUAAUACAUGCAAGUCGAACGAAGUGGCGAACGGGUGAGUAACGCGUAAUCAACCUGCCCUUCAGAGGGUGAUAACAGUUGGAAACGACUGCUCAUACCGCAUACUGAAGGAGGGGAGUUCGACGGAUUCGCUAGUUGGAGGGGUAACGGCCCACAAAGGCGAUGAUCCGUAGCCGGUCGGAGAGGAUGAACGGCCACAUUGGGACUGAGACACGGCCCAGACUCCUACGGGAGGCAGCAGUGGGGAAUCUUCCGCAAUGGACGAAAGUCUGACGGAGCAACGCCGCGUGAGUGAUGACGGCCUUCGGGUUGUAAAGCUCUGUUAAUCGGGACGCGGUACCGGAAUAGAAAGCCACGGCUAACUACGUGCCAGCAGCCGCGGUAAUUC